CCUACGGGAGGCUGCAGUGGGGAAUAUUGGACAAUGGGGGGAACCCUGAUCCAGCCAUGCCGCGUGUGUGAAGAAGGCCCUCGGGUUGUAAAGCACUUUCAGUGAGGAAGAACGCCUGGUGGUUAAUACCCAUCAGGAAAGACAUCACUCACAGAAGAAGCACCGGCUAACUCCGUGCCAGCAGCCGCGGUAAUACGGAGGGUGCGAGCGUUAAUCGGAAUUACUGGGCGUAAAGCGCGCGUAGGUGGCUUGAUAAGCCGGUUGUGAAAGCCCCGGGCUCAACCUGGGAACGGCAUCCGGAACUGUCAAGCUAGAGUGCAGGAGACGAAGGUAGAAUUCCCGGUGUAGCGGUGAAAUGCGUAGAGAUCGGGAGGAAUACCAGUGGCGAAGGCGGCCUUCUGGACUGACACUGACACUGAGGUGCGAAAGCGUGGGUAGCAAACAGGAUUAGAUACCCCUGUAGUC
rnacentral:rRNA from 1 species